AUGCUUCUCCGAUGUGACUCCUCCGGCGACCUCUACACCUUCGCCCCGUCAAGCCACUGCCUCACCGCCGCCGUCACCGCCGACUUGUGGCACCAGCGCCUCGGCCAUCCUGGAGCCGCCGCCCUUGCCAAAGCCUCUUCUUUUUUUGAUUUCAGUUGUAAUAAAACCUCGACGACACAUUGCGAGGCUUGUCGUCUAGGCAAACACACUAGACUUCCCUUUAGUUCUUCUUCCUCUCACACUUCUUUUCCUUUUGAACUUUGUCAUUGUGACUUAUGGACGAGUCCGAUCUCAAGUGUAUCUGGUUAUCAAUAUUAUUUGGUCAUUUUAGAUGAUUUCACACACUAUGUCUGGACCUUUCCCGUACGCCGCAAAUCUGAGGUUCAUAGUCUCCUUGUUCAGUUUUAUGCCUACGCUCAAACCCAAUUCUCCCGUCCUAUCCUCGCCUUUCAGACCGACAAUGGGCGUGAAUUCGACAAUCUCGCAAAUCGCUCACUCUUUGCCUCCCACGGCACGCUCUUCCGCCUCACCUGUCCCCAUACUUCCCAACAAAACGGCAAGGCCGAACGGAUACUCCGUACCCUCAACGACGGUGUCUGGACCCUCCUCCUACACGCCUCCAUGCCUCCUCGUUGGUGGGCCGAAGCCCUUGCCACGUCCACCUAUCUCCUAAAUCGGCGUCCCUGCAAAGCCAAUCUCCUCACCACACCAUACGAACUUCUCUUCGGGACCCCACCCGAUUUUCGUCAUCUCCGUGUUUUUGGAUGCCUCUGUCAUCCCAACCUCAUUGCUACCGCCCCACACAAACUCUCCCCUCGAUCAGCGGCUUGCAUUUUUCUCGGUUACCCGGACGAGCGAAAAGGCUAUCGUUGUUACGACCCCAUUACCCGGCGCAUCCUAUUCUCCAGGCACGUAACUUUCGUGGAGUCUAUCUUUCCAUUU
rnacentral:rRNA from 1 species